UUUUUGUAAAUUAUACAUUUUCGGUUAGUAAAGUUUUCUUCAGUUGCACAAUUUUCAUUUUAUAUUUAUGUAACUUUACAUUAAAAAGUGCUUGUAUAGAUAAGUAAAUAUGUAAAUUUUGAUGUGCUAAACGUUUACUUUUUAAUUGUAUGUACAUUUUACAUAAAUAUAAAAAUGACAUGCUGUGCAAUCGAAGAAAACUGUAUUGCGUGCAAAUCUCAAAC
rnacentral:lncRNA from 1 species